GAUGAACGCUGACAGAAUGCUUAACACAUGCAAGUCAACUGUGGCGGACGGGUGAGUAACGCGUAAAGAACUUGCCUCACAGCUAGGGACAACAUUUGGAAACGAAUGCUAAUACCUGAUACUGUGAGAGAGCUUUGCGUCCCAUUAGCUAGUUGGAGUGGUAACGCCUCACCAAGGCGAUGAUGGGUAGCCGGCCUUAGAGGGUGAUCGGCCACAAGGGGACUGAGAGACGGCCCUUACUCCUACGGGAGGAAGCAGUGGGGAAUAUUGGACAAUGGAACAAAGGCUGAUCCAGCAAUUCUGUGUGCACGAUGAAGUUUUCGGAUUAUAAAGUGCUUUCAGUUGGGAAGCGGUACCAACAGAAGAAGUGACGGCUAAAUACGUGCAAGCAGCCGCGGUAAUUC
rnacentral:rRNA from 1 species